rnacentral:rRNA from 1 species
AUUGAACGCUGGCGGCAUGCUUUACACAUGCAAGUCGAACGGUAACAGGGAGCUUGCUCCGCUGACGAGUGGCGAACGGGUGAGUAAUGCGUCGGAACGUGCCGAGUAGUGGGGGAUAACGCAGCGAAAGUUGUGCUAAUACCGCAUACGUACUGGGGUAGAAAGUGGGGGACCUUCGGGCCUCACGCUAUUCGAGCGGCCGACGUCUGAUUAGCUAGUAGGUGAGGUAAAGGCUCACCUAGGCGACGAUCAGUAGCGGGUCUGAGAGGAUGGUCCGCCACACUGGGACUGAGACACGGCCCAGACUCCUACGGGAGGCAGCAGUGGGGAAUUUUGGACAAUGGGCGAAAGCCUGAUCCAGCCAUGCCGCGUGUCUGAAGAAGGCCUUCGGGUUGUAAAGGACUUUUGUCGGGGAGGAAAUCCCCAGCGUUAAUACCGCUGGGGGAUGACAGUACCUGAAGAAUAAGCACCGGCUAACUACGUGCCAGCAGCCGCAGUAAGAC